UCCAGUCUUUGGCAACCCAGCACGUAAAUUAAUGCUACCGAGGAUGCAAUCUGGCCUGGUGCCGUCUGGUAUGCAGUGAAUACCUCUCUGGAGGGACAUAUUAUCAACACCAAUAUAUGGCUGUUUCUUCCCUCACUGGUUUCCUUUAUGGGAAAGUGCAGUGAAAAAAAUGAUUCCCUUCAAAUUAUUUACAUGUAAACCUUAUGAUUUCAGAGGGAAUAGCAAGACUGCAAUUAAAUUCAACCUUAUUAGCAUUAAACCCCAAAGCAAUCAUGUCAAAAUAGAUCUGAACGAGAACCCCCAAGAGUGAACAGAGGAGGAAAUUGUUUCCACGUCCUUAUUUCUCGCUGUUGGUUUCAGCCUCCUCCUAUGUGUCUUUGCUGACUACGUGCACAUGCUAGAGAGGCAGCAGUACUCCCACAAUCAUACCCCAGCUGACAGUACUCUCCUCCUGGAAAACUCCUCAAUAUAGGCUCUUCAGAGAUAUUUUUGGAGGAUUUAUGGAAGAAGGUUUCCAAAGGCAGUCAUUCACCGAGGCCUCUGAGAAGUCCUACUCUGCCACAGCCUUCCUGUGUGGCAGUACCCAGUCUCUAAAACCCAGUUAGCCUGAUUUCCUGAGGUGCCUUACUCCCUCUGCAACCUGGUGGAGCUACAGUUCUGCCUUGGGCCCUGUGCCACUGGGUGUUUGUGAAGCUAAGUGCGUUGAAGAACAUGAGCUGGACAGCAGCUAAGGUGCAUUUGGAAAAAUCCCACGCUGAAGUCUCAAGGAACCCAUCUGACCUCUUGAAAGAACGAGGCCAGUGGGAGGCUUUGCAGAGACCUGAAAGCUGGCUCAGCCUGUGCCUCUGGUAGGCUGCUGCAGUGAAACCUUAUCGGCAGCCUUCACGGGUCGAAUUGUGUGUGCUGGGUGUCUGCUGGCUGGGUAAGUGCCUAGAGAUCCACCCUAAAUGCCUCGCAAAGGCACCUGCUGUGAGCGAUGUUGAAAUCUUUCAAGUGCUGUAUAUCUUGUUAUACUCAAGGUUAAACUGAUUAUGAAAUUUCAGGUUAGGAACAAAUUUUCACGUUCCAAUUACGUGGUGCUGUUGGGGCUCGUCAGGUCUCCCCUGUACCUUGGUAACUUCCCAGGACCACUUGAGCAUUUCCCAU